GUUUUAAUAAUUUAUAAAUAAAAUAUUGAUUUUGUAAAUCAAAAAAAAGAUAAUUCUUUUAAAACU
rnacentral:tRNA from 1 species